AAUAAGGAAGGAAAGGUUUAAGGCUUUUGGGGUUUAGUGGGUAAUGAUGGUGUGUGUCAUAGUUCUUGACACGGGUGAAUAACCAUUUUUGGUGUAGUGUAUAUUUCUGUUUUGUGAUCUUGCUUUAGAUAUACGGCCGUAAUAUUGUCAGGGGUACACGUGUAAGGUGGAUCUGGUUUGUUUCAAUGUCAGCGAUUGCGAUUUACAUAGAGAAACUUGGUGCAAAGAAAUGUUGGGCUCUCUGCUAUGUUAUCUCCAAUGAAAUGACCACCGAUUUGUUACUCAAUGGUUCGAAUUGUUAUGAAGUGCAACUCGUAUUGACUCCUCCUUAUCUACUGUAAAUAUAAGAUGAAAAGCGUCUUAUAUUUCGAUACAUAGCAAGCAUUAUUCUGCACAUUGCAGGACUGAAGAAUAAUUCAGCACAAACUUGGACAGGGGGUGGUCUCGAAUCCUAGCUGUGCAGGGCGGUUGGUAGUUUGGAAGUACAAAAACGAAAAAAAAAA
rnacentral:lncRNA from 1 species